GUUUUUUUGAGGGACAAUUUUAUAUGGCAGUGCAAACAAUACCAUCUUUGUUCAAAUCCAAACUUGAUGGAUCUGAUGGAUUUGUUAGGCCAAGCAGUGCAAUGUUUUUGAUGUCGCAUCUCCGGAGUCCCGGCCCAUUUAGAGCACUUCUAAAUUCAAUUCGUCAAUUGCCAAGAACGUUUACUCGGAUCAUGAGACUGUUAGCAG
rnacentral:misc_RNA from 1 species